GGGUCAUUUAAGAUGGGUUGGUCAUGUACAAUGCAGAGAAUCAUAAGCCUCAGUGUGGAAGUGUGAUAAUUUAGUAGGGCAAGGAGUGAGAAGGGGAAAGAGAAGGCCUAAGAUGACGUGGAGGAAAGUAUCACAGGAUUUAUAAGUCUUGGAUAUUGAGGAGAACCUGAUGUCUAACAGAGUUGAAUGGCGAAAAAAGAUCUAUAUAGCUGAACCCAACUAGUUUGGAAUUAAGGCU
rnacentral:misc_RNA from 1 species